AUGGCCAUGAUCAGGGCGAAGUGGUUCCUGACGGGCGUGCCGGUGGGGUUCUGGUGGGGGUGGAAGAAGAGCAGCGAGUGGGAGCUGGAGGCGAUGGUGGAGUCGGUGCUGCCGCGCCCGGUGGCGAGGCACGUCGUCGACCUCCUGCCCAAGGCCACCGCCGACGCUCGCCACAAGGCGCGGCUGGAGGAGUCCAUCCGGGAGAACGCCCGCAAGCAGGAGGAGACCAUCCGGAGGCAGGGCGAGGCCCUGAGGAGGAUGGAGGCCACCGCGAUGAGGCAGGAGCAGACCAUCGGCCUGCUGCACGCCGUCAUCGCGCGCCUGCAGGAAGCAGAAGACCAGCGUCUCCUGCAGAAGCAGGGCCCGACGACGGCCACCCCAGCGCCGCCGCCGCCGCCGAAGCAGCAGUAG
rnacentral:rRNA from 1 species